GAUGAACGCUGGCGGCGUGCCUAAUACAUGCAAGUCGAGCGAACGGACGAGAAGCUUGCUUCUCUGAUGUUAGCGGCGGACGGGUGAGUAACACGUGGAUAACCUACCUAUAAGACUGGGAUAACUUCGGGAAACCGGAGCUAAUACCGGAUGAUAUUUUGAACCGCAUGGUUCAAAAGUGAAAGACGGUCUUGCUGUCACUUAUAGAUGGAUCCGCGCUGCAUUAGCUAGUUGGUAAGGUAACGGCUUACCAAGGCAACGAUGCAUAGCCGACCUGAGAGGGUGAUCGCCCACACUGGAACUGAGCCACGGUCCAGACUCCUACGGGAGGCAGCAGUAGGGAAUCUUCCGCAGUGGGCGAAAGCCUGACGGAGCAACGCGGCGUGAGUGAUGAAGGUCUUCGGAUCGUAAAACUCUGUUAUUAGGGAAGAACAUAUGUGUAAGUAACUGUGCACAUCUUGACGGUACCUAAUCAGAAAGCCACGGCUAACUACGUG
rnacentral:rRNA from 1 species